rnacentral:rRNA from 1 species
GACGUAGGGUGCAAGCGUUGUCCGGAUUUAUUGGGCGUAAAGAGCUCGUAGGCGGCUUGUUGCGUCGACUGUGAAAACCCGCGGCUUAACCGCGGGCUUGCAGUUGAUACGGGCAGGCUAGAGUUCGGUAGGGGAGACUGGAAUUCCCGGUGUAGCGGUGAAAUGCGCAGAUAUCGGGAGGAACACCGGUGGCGAAGGCGGUUCUCUGGGCCUGUACUGACGCUCAGGCACGAAAGCAUGGGGAGCAAAAGGG